AACGAACGCUGGCGGCAGGCCUAACACAUGCAAGUCGAACGCUGUAGCAAUACAGAGUGGCAGACGGGUGAGUAACGCGUGGGAACCUUCCCAGUGGUGCGGAAUAGCUCAGGGAAACUUGAGGUACUACCGCACAAGCCCCCAGGUGGAAAGAUUUAACUCCAUUGGAUGGGCCCGCGUCGGAUUAGCUAGUUGGUGAGGGAAUGGCUCACCAAGGCAACGAUCGGUAGCUGGUUUGAGAGAAUGACCCGCCACACUGGGACUGGGACACGGCCCAGACUCCUACGGGAGGCAGCAGUGGGGAAUCUUGGACAAUGGGCGCAAGCCUGAUCCAGCCAUGCCGCGUGAGUGACGAAGGCCUUAGGGUUGUAAAGCUCUUUUACCGGGGACGAUAAUGACGGUACCCGGAGAAUAAGUCCCGGCUAACUUCGUGCCAGCCGCCGCCGUAA
rnacentral:rRNA from 1 species